rnacentral:rRNA from 1 species
UACAGAGGGUGCGAGCGUUAAUCGGAAUUACUGGGCGUAAAGCGCGCGUAGGCGGCUUUGCAAGUCGGGUGUGAAAUCCCCAGGCUUAACCUGGGAACUGCAUUCGAGACUGCAUUACUAGAGUAUGGGAGAGGGAAGUGGAAUUUCCGGUGUAGCGGUGAAAUGCGUAGAUAUCGGAAGGAACAUCAGUGGCGAAAGCGACUUCCUGGACCAAUACUGACGCUCAUGCACGAAAGCGUGGGGAGCAAACAGG